rnacentral:rRNA from 1 species
UGCAUAUCAAUAAGCGGAGGAAAAGAAACCAACAGGGAUUGCCUCAGUAACGGCGAGUGAAGCGGCAAAAGCUCAAAUUUGAAACCCUCGGGAUUGUAAUUUGAAGAUUUGGCAUUGGAGAAAGCUAACCCAAGUUGCUUGGAAUAGUACGUCAUAGAGGGUGACAACCCCGUCUGGCUAACCGUUCUCCAUGUAUUGCCUUAUCAAAGAGUCGAGUUGUUUGGGAAUGCAGCUCAAAGUGGGUGGUAAACUCCAUCUAAAGCUAAAUACUGGUGAGAGACCGAUAGCGAACAAGUACUGUGAAGGAAAGGUGAAAAGAACUUUGAAAAGAGAGUGAAAUAGUAUGUGAAAUUGUUGAUAGGGAAGGAAAUGAGUGGAGAGUGGCCGAGGUUUCAGCCGCCCCUCGUGGGCGGUGUACUGCCGACGCCGAGUCAUCGAUAGCGAGACGAGGGUUACAAAUGGGAGCGCCUUCGGGCGUUCUCCCCUAACCCUCCACACUGCCACCGACGACAUAAUCCACCCAUUUCACCCGUCUUGAAACACGGACC